GUUUAUUAUGAGGUGUGGUCCUGUCUACAGGAGUCUGUUUAUUAUUAGGUGUUGUCCUGUCUACAGAGAUCUGUUUAUAUGAGGUGUGGUCUGUCUACAGAGAUCUGUUUAUUAUGAGGUGUGGUCCUGUCUACAGAGACCUGUUUAUUAUGAGGUUGGUCCUGUCUACAGAGAUCUGUUUAUUAUUGAGGUGUGGUCCUGUCUACAGAGAUCUGUUUAUUAUGAGGUGUGGUCCUGUCUAUAGAGAUCUGUUUAUUAAUGAGGUGUGGUCCUGUCUACAGAGAUCGGUUUAUUUGAGGUGUGGUCCUGUCAUAGAGAUCGUUUAUUAUGAGGUGUGGUCCUGUCAUAGAGAUCUGUUUAUAUGA
rnacentral:lncRNA from 1 species